rnacentral:tRNA from 1 species
CUGGUGACCCAAUGGAUAAAGUGUUGGUUUUCGGAGCCGAAGAGUGUGGGUUCGAGUCCCCUCCAG